GAGCUCUGCGUUCUGACUGCUGGCCAGUCAAGUUGUCCGAGGUAACAACGGUUCAAAAAGCAUUGCAUAGAAGUAUUUCUGACAUGUUCUUUUCAUUAUGUUUAUGUUGUAUAUAUACGUCUGUGCAGGUGGCACAAGGAACGUAAAGUGCGCAUCAGCAACACAGCAGCUCAUACCAUUUUGCGUACCCGCAGAGGCCCUCAAGAAAUUCUUCGCAGCCUCCUCAAGUCCAAUUUUUUUUCGUCUGAGGCUACAACAUAUGGAAUACGUAUGGAGCCGGUGGCCAGGAAAGAAUUUGAGCGGCAGCAUGGUGUUACGGUGACAGAGGUGGGCCUGCUGCUUCAUCCGCAACAGCCAUGGCUUUGUGGAAGUCCUGACGGAAUUUUUUCCUUCUCUGGCAAGACGUGCUUGCUCGAAAUCAAGUGCCCUUACAGAUGCGUAGACAAGGGGAUUUUUGAUGACACAGGGCACAGCAUUGUUGACUAUGUGCAUCAUGUCGAUGGAAGCCCCAUACUAAGAAAAUCACAUAAGUACUACACACAGGUCCAGAUUUUAAUGUACCUCCUUAAUGCAAAGCAGUGUUUCUUUUUUGUAUAUUCAAACAAGCAGAGCGUGACCAUACUUGUGUGUAGGGAUGAUGCUUUUCUUCGCGAAGCUAUACCAAAUCUCGAACAAUUUUAUUUUCAGUGGAUGUUGCGUGAACUUGUAAAACAGCAAACUUUGUAGCAUGAAAGAUGCCUCACUGUAGAGUGAUUCUUUUAUUUAUUGAAUAGGUUUGUGCAAUACUUCGUAUAGAAGUUUCCCGUUUCUCCCGCUGUCAUCAAUUGGCAUUAUACGUGUAAUUUUUUUUUCUUUUUCUGGGACAGGAAGUCCCCCCUCAUGUUAUUUACAAGCAAAUAUA
rnacentral:lncRNA from 1 species